rnacentral:misc_RNA from 1 species
GAUGAAGAACGUAGCGAAAUGCGAUACGUAAUGUGAAUUGCAGAAUUCAGUGAAUCAUCGAAUCUUUGAACGCAUAUUGCGCUCUCUGGUAUUCCGGAGAGCAUGCUUGUUUGAGUAUCAGUAAACACCUCAACUUCCAUAUCUUUUUUGAAAUGGGAGUUGGACUUGAGUGAUCCCAACGCUUUUCCUCACCGAAAAGUGGCGGGUUACUUGAAAUGCAGGUGCAGCUGGACUUUUCUCUGAGCUAUAAGCAUAUCUAUUUAGUCUGCCUAAAAAACAGAUUAUUACCUUUGCUGCAGCUAACAUAAAGGAGAUUAGUUCUUGUGCUAACUGAUGCAGGAUUCACAAAGACAGGCUUCGGCCGACUUUGUAAACUCGAUCUCAAAUCAAGUAAGACUACCCGCUGAACUUAAGCAUAUCAAUAAGCGGAGGA